AAGUCGUAACAAGGUCUCCGUAGGUGAACCUGCGGAGGGAUCAUUAACACGAACCAUAGUAUAGUAAUAUAUUAUGUCGUAACCCUAUCAACCAAACCGUGCACUCGAGUCUGUCAUGGGCUCAUAAAACAAUCUCCCCUAUAUUUAUUUUAUAGAUAUAGGGCCCCUCAAUAGUAGUAUUCCUCUAGUAUUAACCUUCGGGUUAAUAGUAUGAAUAUUAUUAUUAUUUUACAAACCUAUCUAACCCUAACCUAUAACCAUAGACUGAUUACGUACAAGUGAUAUUGUCAUAUUUCCCCUCUGUGGGUUAUGUGGUGAUAUACAUCUUGGCCUUUGGACAUUCCAAAACUAUAACAAAGAGUACAACUCUUAGCAAUGGAUAUCUAGGUUGCC
rnacentral:misc_RNA from 1 species